AGGGUUUGAUCAUGGCUCAGGAUGAACGCUGGCGGUAUGCCUUAUACAUGCAAGUCGUACGAGAGUUUUUAACUUAAGUGGCGGACGGGUGAGUAACACGUAAGAAUUUGCCUUUAGGAGGGGGACAACAACUGGAAACGGUUGCUAAUACCCCAUAUGCUUUCGAGUGAAACGGAUUAUUCCGCCUAAAGAGAAGCUUGCGGCUGAUUAGCUUGUUGGUGAGGUAAUGGCUCACCAAGGCGACGAUCAGUAUCUGGUUUGAGAGGACGAUCAGACACACUGGAACUGAGACACGGUCCAGACUCCUACGGGAGGCAGCAGUAGGGAAUUUUCCGCAAUGGGCGAAAGCCUGACGAAGCAAUACCGCGUGAGGGAUGAAUGCCUAUGGGUUGUAAACCUCUUUUUUCAGGGAGGAAUAAAUGACGUGUAUCUGAAGAAUAAGCAUCGGCUAACUCCGUGCCAGCAGCCGCGGUAAGACGGAGGAUGCAAGUGUUAUCCGGAAUCACUGGGCGUAAAGCGUCUGUAGGUGGUCAAAUAAGUCAACUGUUAAAUCUUGAGGCUUAACCUCAAAACUGCAGUCGAAACUAUUAGACUAGAGUAUAGUAGAGGUAAAGGGAAUUUCCAGUGGAGCGGUGAAUUGCGUAGAGAUUGGAAAGAACACCGAUGGCGAAGGCACUUUACUGGGCUAUUACUGACACUCAGAGACGAAAGCUAGGGUAGCAAAUGGGAUUAGAUACCCCAGCAGUCCUAGCUGUAAACAAUGGAUACUAGGUGUUGAACAGAUCGACCUGUGCAGUACUAAAGCUAACGCGCUAAGUAUCCCGCCUGGGAAGUAUGCACGCAAGUGUGAAACUCAAAGGAAUUGACGGGGGCCCGCACAAGCGGUGGAGCAUGUGGUUU
rnacentral:rRNA from 1 species